UCGAGGAUCUUCGGCAAUGGGCGCAAGCCUGACCGAGCGACGCCGCGUGUGCGAUGAAGGCCUUCGGGUUGUAAAGCACUGUCGAGGGGGAGGAAGGCGCAAGCUUGACCUAUCCCUGGAGGAAGCACGGGCUAAGUUCGUGCCAGCAGCCGCGGUAAGACGAACCGUGCGAACGUUGUUCGGAAUCACUGGGCUUAAAGGGCGCGUAGGCGGCUACGUAAGUCUCGGGUGAAAUCUUUCGGCUCAACCGGAAACGUGCCUGGGAUACUGCGCAGCUCGAGGGAGGUAGGGGCGGACGGAACUUCCGGUGGAGCGGUGAAAUGCGUUGAUAUCGGAAGGAACGCCGGUGGCGAAAGCGAUCCGCUGGACCUCUACUGACGCUGAGGCGCGAAAGCCAGGGGAGCAAACGGGAUUAGAUACCCGCGUAGUCC
rnacentral:rRNA from 1 species